rnacentral:rRNA from 1 species
CCUACGGGAGGCAGCAGUAGGGAAUAUUGCUCAAUGGGGGAAACCCUGAAGCAGCAACGCCGCGUGGAGGAUGAAGGUUUUCGGAUUGUAAACUCCUUUUGUUAGAGAAGAUAAUGACGGUAUCUAACGAAUAAGCACCGGCUAACUCCGUGCCAGCAGCCGCGGGAAUACGGAGGGUGCAAGCGUUACGCGGAAUCACUGGGCGUAAAGAGCGCGGAGGCGGGAUAGAAAGUCAGAUGUGAAAUCCUAUGGCUUAACCAUAGAACUGCAUUUGAAACUGUUAUUCUAGAGUAUGGGCGAGGUAGGAGGAAUUCUUGGUGUAGGGGUAAAAUUCGUAGAGAUAAAGAGGA